rnacentral:rRNA from 1 species
GAUGAACGCUGGCGGCGUGCCUAAUACAUGCAAGUCGAGCGAACAGACGAGGAGCUUGCUCCUCUGACUUUAGCGGCGGACGGGUGAGUAACACGUGGAUAACCUACCUAUAAGACUGGGAUAACUUCGUGAAACCGGAGCUAAUACCGGAUAAUAUAUUGAACCGCAUGGUUCAAUAGUUAAAGACGGUUUUGCUGUCACUUAUAGAUGGAUCCGCGCCGCAUUAGCUAGUUGGUAAGGUAACGGCUUACCAAGGCGACGAUGCGUAGCCGACCUGAGAGGGUGAUCGGCCACACUGGAACUGAGACACGGUCCAGACUCCUACGGGAGGCAGCAGUAGGGAAUCUUCCGCAAUGGGCGAAAGCCUGACGGAGCAACGCCGCGUGAGUGAUGAAGGUCUUCGGAUCGUAAAACUCUGUUAUUAGGGAAGAACAAAUGUGUAAGUAACUAUGCACGUAUUGACGGUACCUAAUCAGAAAGCCACGGCUAACUACGUG